UUUUUUUUUUCACAAAUUGUCAGUGUGAUUAGUAAUUACUGACUGCUGGCUGAAAAUAAUUUCCUGCCUGCCCAAACAAAGUAAAUUAAGGGGAACAAAUGAUGUAACUCUGUUUAAAAAAAAAACCAAAAAAAACAAAACAAAAAAAAAAACCCAUUGAAAUCUUCCCCAAAGAGAAGAAGCUAUUAUUAUCCCAGACUUCUAAAUGGGAAGAUGAGAAGACAGAGGCUGGGCAACUUGUCCAAAGUGAUCAGCCCAAAUUAGAAGUCCGAAAUUCCUGAUGGCCACGCAAGGGCCAGACCUCUGCUGGCAGUUUGGCUCUGCUGGCUACAGGGAAGGCCAAAUUAAACAGGACCUAAUUAGGGAUAAAGUUCCAUGCUUUCGCCUGCUCUGUGACCCCCUGACCACGAAGCUCUGGCCAGAUUUUUGGCUGCUGUAUCGACCUUCUGACCCCCAUGAGGUCAGCAAGAUGAGGAGGAAAUGGGGAGAGAACUCCUUCACUGCUGCCUUGCCGUGUGCCCUGGCUAAGUGGCUUCGUCUCUGGGACCUCAGGUAUCCCCUCUGGGGAGGGGGUGAGAGAGUUGCGUCUCCUGCAUAUGGGUCCAGCCCACUCUUGAGAAGUGGCUCCUUUUGGAAAACAAGGAGGCUUGCAAAGCGCUUGUUAAAGGCACACCAGGAGCCUCCGGACGGCGGAGAGUCAGACUGAGUUCCCUCUGCGUCUGGUAGAAUGGAAGAAUGUUAACCAGAAAAGAAAGCAGGGUGUGUGGGACACAGUUCACCAAAAAAGAGACCUAUAGUUCUUUUUUUUAAUGUUUAACUAAACAUUUCUAAAUUGAAGUACAAAAAAAUUGAAGUAUAGUUGAUUUAUGACGUUGUGUUAGCUUCAAGUGUUAUUUAUCUAAUUAUAUAUAUAUUCUUUUCCCAAAUCUCUGUAAUAGGUUAUUACAAGACAUUGAGUAUAGUUCCCUGUGCUAUAUAGUAGGUCCUUGUUAUUUAUUGUUUUUAUAUAUAGUGGUGUAUAGGGACAUAUAUACAUACUUUAUUUAUUUACUUAUUGGUUUUUUUUUUUGGCUGCACCUGAAGAAUAUGGAAGAGUCCAGGCUUAGGGGUCGAAUCGGAGCUGCAGCUGAUGACCUACAGCACAGCCACAGCAACGUCACAUCUGAGCUGUGUCUUGGACCUACACGGUAGC
rnacentral:lncRNA from 9 species